CACCCUCAUUGAGAACCUGCACUUGAUCAAGGUGGCUGUGUCUUGUGUCCACUGCUUCAAAUCACAGCCUGCUUUGGUCAUUUGCUGGUUUUUCAUCACC
rnacentral:pre_miRNA from 1 species